rnacentral:lncRNA from 1 species
GAGCUUUUCUCAUCACUUGGCGUCCGUCGUCCGUCGUCGUCCGUCGUCGUCGUCGUCGUCCGUCGUCGUUAACUUUUACAAAAAUCUUCUCCUCUGAAACUACUGGGCCAAAUCAAACCAAACUUGGCCACAAUCAUCAUUGGGGUAUCUAGUUUAAAAAAUGUGUGGCGUGACCCGGUCAACCAACCAAGAUGGCCGCCACGGCUAAAAAUAGAACAUAGGGGUAAAAUGCAGUUUUUGGCUUAUAACUCAAAAACCAAAGCAUUUAGAGCAAAUCUGACAUGGGGUAAAAAUGUUUAUCAGGUCAAAGAUCUAUCUGCCCUGAAAUUUUCAGAUGAAUCGGUCAAUCGGUUGUUGGGUUGCUGCCCCUGAAU